AGACUCCUACGGGAGGCAGCAGUGAGGAAUUUUGCGCAAUGGGGGAAACCCUGACGCAGCAACGCCGCGUGAGUGAUGAAGGCUUUCGGGUCGUAAAGCUCUGUCAAGUGGGAAGAAACCACAUGAUGCUAAUAUCAUCUUGUGCUGACGGUACCACUGAAGGAAGCACCGGCUAACUCCGUGCCAGCAGCCGCGGUAAUACGGGGGGUGCAAGCGUUAUUCGGAAUUACUGGGCGUAAAGAGCGCGUAGGCGGUCUUUUAAGUCAGGUGUGAAAGCCCGGGGCUCAACCCCGGAAGUGCACUUGAAACUAAGAGACUUGAGUAUGGGAGAGGGAAGUGGAAUUCCUGGUGUAGCGGUGAAAUGCGUAGAUAUCAGGAGGAACACCGGUGGCGAAGGCGACUUCCUGGACCAAUACUGACGCUGAGGCGCGAAGGCGUGGGGAGCAAACAGGAUUAGAUACCCUGGUAGUCCACGCAGUAAACGGUGAACACUAGUGUAGCGGGUAUUGACCCCUGCUGUGCCGCAGCAACGCAUUAAGUGUUCCGCCUGGGGAGUACGGCCGCAAGGUUAAACUCAAGGAAUUGACGGGGGCCCGCACAAGCGG
rnacentral:rRNA from 1 species